CUGGCCUCAACAAUACAUUUCAUUGUUUUCCAGGGAAACCAACCAUCAAAACCGGCACCAACCAUUAGGUGCUCACCUGGAUUCGUGCUCUCUGCCAUUGAUCUAUUAACCGAAGAUCAAUAUGCAAAUGUCAAGGCUACUCCAUUUGGUGAAAUUCUGAACCUAAAAGCUGAUGCUCUUGAGUCCAGGAAUUUGCCGGUAUUCCUUAUGAACAAGACUGACAAGGACACUCUAAUAAUCAACGUCGGCACUCAAGGUGGACUGAAAAUUACCCCGCAUGCUGUGCAUUGUGUCAUGGGCACUCCACUUGGUGGUCGUGACCCAUCGGUCUGUUCUGUCACCCAAAAGAAUGAGCUGCUUAGACUCAAGAACGAGCUGAGCGUGCCAGUCGAUCAGAAUAUAACCUACAAAACUCUGUGCGACUAUAUAAAGUUGAAGAGGCCUGAUGAUUUGUCCACAAGAUGUUUCAUUCUGAUUAUAUUCAACUGGUUACUCUUUCCUUCCACAAGGACAUAUAUAUCUGGUAGGGAGGCUGCUUGGACUGCAGACAUUGCUAAUAUUGGUGCGAUCGAUUGGUCCAAAGCUGUUGUUGAUUACAUGAGGGAUAGUGUUGCAACAUGGCACUCCAAGAAGAACAACAAUGGAGUAUUGUCCAUUUCUGGUUGUGUGCUCUUUUUAAUAAUUUACUAUUUGGACAAUCUCCUGAGUGUCAAUAUGUUGGAUGCGUCUCAAACACCACGCAUAGCUUUCUACAACACUGGGAAGAUGCAAGCUAUCUUAAGUGAGGAUAAGUCGAAGAACAAGCCAGACUCGGAGUCAUAUGGCAACCUACCGCAAGCCAUGCUCAACCUCAUGCCCAUUCUGUUCUGUUCAUUAGCAUGCUGGAGCAACUCAGGGACUGCGUGGAUCAACUACCUCAAUAGAAGCAGGCCGUGGCAUUUGCUGCUAUACGGAGCUUUUGCUACUUUUCUUGAUGGCCCAGCAGAACGGUCGAUUCAUGACAUUCCUGCUGCUACAGACAAUAUUGAAGUUGAUGGCACCAGUAUACAAUCCGAAGCCGACCGCAGUGUUCAGCGAAACGAUGGUGUGGAUCCCAGCAAGAAUCUUCCAUCGUCAGGUAUUGGUCAUGAUGGCACAUAA
rnacentral:rRNA from 1 species